rnacentral:rRNA from 1 species
GACGAACGCUGGCGGCGUGCUUAACACAUGCCAGCCGAACGGAAAGGCCCCCUUGUGGGGUACUCGAGUGGCGAACGGGUGAGUAACACGUGAGUAACCUACCCUUGACUUUGGGAUAACUUCAGGAAACUGGGGCUAAUACCGGAUAGGAGCUCCUGCUGCAUGGUGGGGGUUGGAAAGUUUCGGCGGUUGGGGAUGGACUCGCGGCUUAUCAGCUUGUUGGUGGGGUAGUGGCUCACCAAGGCUUUGACGGGUAGCCGGCCUGAGAGGGUGACCGGCCACAUUGGGACUGAGAUACGGCCCAGACUCCUACGGGAGGCAGCAGUGGGGAAUAUUGCACAAUGGGCGGAAGCCUGAUGCAGCAACGCCGCGUGCGGGAUGACGGCCUUCGGGUUGUAAACCGCUUUCGCCUGUGACGAAGCGUGAGUGACGGUAAUGGGUAAAGAAGCACCGGCUAACUACGUG